rnacentral:rRNA from 1 species
UACGAAGGGGGCUAGCGUUGCUCGGAAUUACUGGGCGUAAAGCGCACGUAGGCGGUUUGGUAAGUCGGGGGUGAAAUCCUGGAGCUCAACUCCAGAACUGCCUUCGAUACUGGCGAUCUCGAGUCCGGGAGAGGUGAGUGGAACUGCGAGUGUAGAGGUGAAAUUCGUAGAUAUUCGCAAGAACACCAGUGGCGAAGGCGGCUCACUGGCCCGGUACUGACGCUGAGGUGCGAAAGCGUGGGGAGCAAACAGG